AGCAGUGGCAAGGAUCCUGGAUAUGGGACUAUUGCCAGUAUCUCUAAAUAAAAUUCGUCAUGUAUGAGGUCCCUUCUAUGACUUGGUGUUGUUGGGCAGAAUGGUCUUGCCCACCUCUGGGGUGGAAGCUAUUUCCACCUUUCUUGUAAUACCAAGGGUUCUGGUAGGUCAUCAACCAAACAAUUGGAUUGGUUAAUGACUGGAUCCAGACCUAUGCAGAUGUCAACUCUACCUACAGUUGCAUCCAAUAAAAGGAAAGGCUUUAGAGGUUAUUUUUCUCCUUUAUUUUAUUCCUUUCUGCCUGUGAAAUUCUAGACUUCAUGAAAAGAAAUUUUAAACAGACACUCAUCAUGGCACAAUCCAAACCCCAUCAUUCUUAGCUUCAGAAACAUUACUACAACACUGAAGACAUCAAAUAAUUUCUUGACACUUGUGAGCAUUCACAGUUUGUAUUAUUGAUAUUUUGACUCUAUUGAGGGCCACAUGCCUAGUGGUUUACGAAAAAGCUUAAAGGAGCAAAUUUAUCAGUAAAUUUAACCAUGUCUUUAGGGAGCUGGGGGUUGGAAUAACCUCAGUUUUCUGAUUCAGCAUUUCUGAGGAACAAUAAAGUACAGUAAUAAGCAGUGGAACUGAUACCAAGUUUGUGUGGGCUGAGUCAAAUGUAGGUUAAAAAAGGGGGAGACUUAAGCAAUGAACAUUGUAAUUAAUAAGAAUCAAAUGUAUUGUAUGAGAAGUGUGGUCUAGACAGGACUAGAAGAGACAACAACAUGACAACUUUUCUUUAUGGGAAUUAGAUUGACUUCUAGCCACUUUGUUCAAGAGAACAAGAGAAAAAUAAACGUUUCUGUUCAUUUACAGAAUAAGCAGUGGGCUCAUCAAGAGCAUGGAUCUUUUUUCAUGCUGCUCCUCCCGUUUCUUAAUGUGAUGAAAUAACGUCUUUGCAGUUCACUCUUUAUGAACAGCCUCCAGGCUAUGAGCUUCAGAUAUGAUCCCUCAGAGUUGGAGUUCGUUUGACCUGCUGCUAGAACCGUCUAGAACGUCAGGAGAGAAUACUUCUAGAACAUGGCCAUACAGCCUGGAAAACAUACAACAACCCCGUCUACCUUUUUUGCAGUUCUUUGUAUCUGCAGAACUCUUUCCUAUCACCUGAUUUCAAAUGCAUUGAUUUUCUUUCUGGCAGCUUUCUUCAUUGUCCAGCUUUUACAUCCACACAUACAAACCUGUGACUUAUGCAUUGCUAUAACAAGAGACCAAAAGGAUGCCAAUUUGUAUUCAUAUUAAAAUUAAAUUUGUAUACGUUGUAUACAAAUAAUAUUUUAAAUUAAUAACUGUGAUUUUAAGCCAUGGACCCUUGGCGUACAAGACUUGAGUAUGACAGUUAAUAAUAGGAUAUCUUGGAGAUCUUUCAUUCAUAGGGUCCCUGUAAAUCAAAGUUGACUUGACGCCAAAUGACAGCAACUACAAAAGAGAAAUACGAUGCAUCUCAUAAUAUCAGGGAAGACUGUGGCCAGUUGUCUUAUAUAUCAGCAACUUCAAGGUUGUGGCUCUUUUUUCAUUUCUUUAAUCUAGACUUGUAUUGGAUGGCCCUUCAAAUAUAGAAUAUUUCCAAACUGAAAACAGUCUGUACACAAUACUUUCAAAUGGAUUAUUUUCUUCAGUAACAUAAUACACGUAUGUGUAUCUGUAUGUACGUAUUUAGGAUAUUUUUUUAUGGCACCUUUCCAUUAAAAAUACCAAGGCAGUCAAAGCAGUUAAAAAAACAACUCAAGCUUUACAAGACAAAUAUAAAAGUCAUUGAAAAACAAUUUGGUCUUUUAGUGGCAAUGUUUUGCUGUGUCUUUUGUUUUUAUUGUUAUGAUUUCGCUCUGUUUUAAAUUAGUCAUGGUUUUAAUAGGAUAGUUUAUUUUAAUCUUUUUUAAAAUGAGUUAUCAGAUUUUAAUUGAACUUUAUUCUAACCUUGUUCUAACCUGUCUUGGGUUGUGAGAAAAAUGAGAUAUAAAUGAAAUGAAAUAGAAUAAAAUAGCAAGGUUUGGGUUAGUAGUGUAUCUUCUACCUUUUCUAAAGGAAGAAGCAGUGGGAAUUCCACAACUGGGGAGUAGCAAAGCCCAUUCACCCCUGUUUAUGAUGGAGACUCCAAAAGGAGCAGUGUUCUAACCAGGGCUUUUCUUACAGAUUGAGCUAACUGGGCUUUUUUCCUAGAGAGAUGAAUGACACUUUAGAGGGCCAGGUCCUAAACUGUUUACUAGGCUUGAGCAUUUUGGCUGGACCUCGAUCAGUUUCUGCUACCUGAAUUCCGGGGGUGGGGGGUGGGGGGGUGGGGGUGGGUUCUGUUUUCAUGUGAAUAGCCGUUUUGGGCAUAAGACCUAUUAUUAGGCGAUCCCUCGUAGGUCAAGGAUGAUGGUUCUCCGCUUCUGGUGUCUUGGGAGUGUGUCCGUAGGUGGCUGAAGAGAUCUAUUCUUGACCCGCAUGUUCUCCCGCAGUGAGGACAUUGGUUUCCAGGUGGAAGGUGAUCCUAGUCAGGGUUGGCUUGAUGCUCCUUCCUCAUGGCACGUUUCUCCCUUAAGCCCUCCAUUCGUGCCUCUUCGAACUCUUCAGCACUGCUGGUCACAGCUGACCUCCAGCUACAGUGCUCAAGGGUCAGGGCUUUCCAGUUCUCAGUGUCUAUGCCACAGUUUUUAAGGUUGGCUUUAUGCCACCGUUUUUAAGGUUGGCUUUAUGCCACCGUUUUUAAGAUUGGCCUAUUACAUUUCACCUGUCAUUUCUCAUGCUAUUUAAUAAAAUUUGGCACAUCAAACUUGACAUGUGGCUCUUCCUUUUCAGACACAUAUUUUGCCUCUUUCACUCCUUUCAUCCAUUAUAGCUUCUGCUUUGUUGUGGUAUAUGCCAAUGAAGGCUUGUUAAAUAUGGAUUUAAUGUGUGUAAGGAAGCUACAGGGAUGUGUUUACUAUCUAUUUUAUGUGUUAGGCUGCAAAGGGGAAGUUAAAUGUGAAAUGACAGCAGAAAAAUAUUUCUGCAAAAUGAGAAUGUUAGCUAAAGGGUGUAUUGACAUAACUGAGAAGGAGCUUUCCCAGACUUCCUUAUAAAUAACCCAUAGUAGCUCAAUACUCCCUAACAGAAAAUAGGCUAAAUUAAUUCCUGCUGUUGCUUCUACAAGCUCAAGGGAAAUUUACCAGACAGCAAUAAACUGUAACCUUUAGAAAUUGUCACAGGCAUACUGACUAAAUUCCCCUUCUCUAUAUUUCUGCAUCUUGAAAUUGAGAUUGUUAUAACUUUAUAGGGUUAUAUGCUGUCAUUCAAAUCUGUUUAAUUAUUAUAAUAUAGCCCUUAUGAUCCUAUUCAGAAUUGUAUACCGUGUUCUACAAGCAUUAUUCAGCAAUUAUAUCUUCCCCAAGAUGAGUUCCAUUGACUCCACUAGCAAGUUAAUAAACUGUCCACAAAAUAGGAAGAGAUAUUUAAUUUACAGGGACCCUAUGACUGAAAGAUCUGGUGGGAAUAUUUGCUAGCUGCAAUUCCUUUUGUUUGUGUUCCUUUCACCAGGUGUCAUUUAAAGAUUCUCCUACUUCCUUCUACAGCCUCUUCUGCUUUCAAAAUUUCCUUUGGAACGUCAGGUGGGAGGAAGGAAUGUCUGCAAUAGAGAAGACUUGGUGGAAGUUAUUGCAGGGAGGUCUAUCUGUGGGACACUCUUGCUAGAUUUCUGCAAAAAGAAGGACUACUUCCAUCCAUCCAAUUGUUUUUAAGCUCAAUAUGCUUUAUCAUAUCUUGGAAAUAUCACUUCCUGAAUCUAUGGUUAUCAUAAUUUCCCAGUUAGCAUGGCUACCCUUCAGUAUCCAGUAAGCAACUAAAGGCAGCUAUGUUUGUCACAGGUUUUAGAUAAGAGCCAUGACUGAGGGUGCAUCUACACUGUAAACUGACUCAAUAGGUCAAUGCUAUGGAAUCUAGGGAUAGAAUGCUGGAUGGCAGAUAUAGCAUAUAUUUGCUGCAAGGGGCUGGGAUAGUAAAUGGAAAUCUUGUUAGGAAUGAGGAGACUAACUCCAUAAAUAUCUGAGAAAUUAUAAAGAUAUAAUCUAGCAGUGUACACAUUUAAUCUGACAUAAAUAAGCAAUUUACUUGUUUACCAUGUUAAAAGGUAAAGGUUUUCCCCUGACAUUAAGUCCAGUCGUGUCCGACUCUGGGGGUUGGUGCUCAUCUCAAUGUCUAAGCCAAAGAGCCGGUGAUGUCCGUAGACACCUCCAAGAUCAUGUGGCUGGCAUGACUGCAUGGAGUGCCGUUACCUUCCUGCCAGAGCGGUAUCUAUUGAUCUACUCACAUUUGCAUGUUUUCGAACUGCUAGGUUAGCAGAAGCCGAGUCUAACCGCGGGUGCUCACUCUGCUCCCCAGAUUUAAACCUGCAACCUUUCGGUCCUCAAUGUCACCAGCUCAGCGCUUUAACAUGCUGCGCCACUAUGUCUUAGGACAUUAAUAAUAGUAAUAAUAAUAAUAAUAAUAAUAAUAAUAAUAAUAAUACUUUAUUUGUAUUCCGCCCUAUCUCCCUGAGGUAGAUAAGAGCUUUCUGUCCUUAUUUCCAACUUGGGCACUAUUGCCAUAGCUUCAAAUGGCCCUGAAACCCACCAAGUGACUCAGGUUCAUGCUGCUGGCAAGAUGGCAUGACCAGACCUUCCUCACCAGCAAGUGAAGCUGUGAUGAAGAGUUAUGACAGGACCCCACUGGAGAUUCUGCGUCUGUCCCUUAGAGCAUCACUGGCAGGAGUGGACUGAAUACAUCAUCCUGCAUCACCCCACUUAUCAGCAUCCUAUAUCUCAGCCACUUGGGACGACUGGCUGACUUUUAAGGUGGAUUUAUGGGUCUAAACUGGGAGAUAAAGUGUGUAUGGUGCAGAAUCUUGGUCUAUAUUGUUACAAAGCUUUUCAAAUAACUAGAAUUAUAAAGAGACUCAUAAUAUUAAAAGCAAAGCCACAGUUUUAGUUCUAUAGUGCCUUCUCAAUGCCUAUUCAAACUUUUAAAAAGGAGGACAUCUGACCACUUCCUAGUUUGUGAGAAAGCCUGUAUAGGUCUGAAAAAAAGUCAGGGCAAGAAAAAAUGCAAUAGUACUCCCCCAGAGGGUUUUUUAAAAUGGUGUGGGUGAGCUGCUAUUGCAUAUUUUGAGAUAAGUUUUUUUACUCCCAGGUAGGACAUGAGAGGGACAGGUACAGAGACAAUGGUGGGUAUUCAAGGAGACAGUGUGACAUUCUGACCUUUGUUUAGCUAUGGUCCCAGAACAGUGUGCUUAAAAAUAUAAUUCUACUUCUCUAUGUUUGCAGUAGAAAGAUUGUAAUUAUAAAAUUACUGAUGUAAGGAAAACUUGCAAGUUGUUUCAUUCUUGAUGAGAAAGUAUAUCUACGCCUUGCUGAACAUUGGCUAAGUACCGUAAGAUUUUCCACAUUUCAGGGCAAUGUUAUUACUUUAAACAAUUGUUGGUUUUAAAAAGUUAUUUUGUGUAAAAAUUAAUAUUAAUUCCAAAACAGCCUUUUAAUGCAACAGACAUGCUUUUUUCCUGCACCAAUUAAUUGUAUUUUGAAUAAAACCAAUAUUUUUGUGCAAAGGAAGUUUUCACACAAAAGUUACAAAGGGCUAAGUUAUCUAAAAACGUACAAAAAAUCCUCACCCUUCAGAUAACAAACUUUCUAAAUUAUUCAUUCUUACAAUGAAAAACAUAAAGAUUUAUCUUCCCACCACAAGCUUUUCAAAAGAAAAGAGGCCUUUCACCAUUGAUAUCACUAUAGCAACAUAUCUGGCCUUGACAGAGGAAGCAAAAGUGACCAAUUUGGACAGAGAGUCAAAAAAGGAAUAAUGUAGCAAAGUCUCUAAAACAUGACAGAAGAAAGGAUCCUGUCUUCCCUACAGUGUUAACUCAAAGGGGGAAAACCUCUUUUCACUAAUAGAUUACUUGUAAACUUCUCUGGCACUGCUGGAAAUGUCAUCCCAUCUAGUUAUGCUUAGCAGGUGCCAUCAUUGAGGAGUGGGUGUCACAUUUUCAUGUUCUGGACAGAUCCUAUCUCUAGGGGCAGUUCACAUAUUUGGACUAAUCAGAGUGGUGUUUCCCACUCUCACUCUGAACCUCCACCCAACAGCAACAAAUAGAUGAGGGAUGUAGCCAGUGGUGCCCUGCUACCUUUCAGCCAGAACCCAAGACUGCUGUGUCUUCUUUUUUUACAAAACGAAUGUUAUGUGCACAUGUUGCUAUGUCACAUCUACAAAAUGUUCCUGAUAGAGAUCUUGGGAUGAAGAUGCUGCUUUGGGAAAGAAUACUUUGCCUUUCUGUCAAAAUUGGUACCCUUGGACCUGCUGGAAUUCCAUUUUAUGGUUCGUACCAGCAAAGACAUGAUUUUUUUUAUGUUCAGAACUUGUUACCCAUGCUCACUUCUAGACCAUUAUCCAGAACUCUAAUUCAUAAAUUAAGUAUGAAUUGGAUAUUAUUAUAUGUUACUUUUUUACCACAGCAAGAAUGGAGAGGCGUGAUGCAAAGAGAGGUAGGCUGUAUUUCCACCUCUGAGUAAAACCACCUAGGAGUAUUCCUUGCCUAAGAAAACCAUAUGAAAUUCAAGAGGACAUCCUAAACCAGCAGACAACUAGAAGGCACAAACAGAUAUCCACAUUAUGAAUGCUUGUCAUUGUUCAUGCUUACAUCUGAGAACUUAAACUUUUGUUGUUUUUGAGUGGACUUGUAUAUAUAUUUUAGUACUGGUCUGAUUCUCAUUAUUACUUUCAGCAGUCAAGAUGAUUGCAGUAAAGAUCUUAAAAGAUGCA